rnacentral:tRNA from 1 species
AGGGGCCGUAGCUCAGCUGGGAGAUCGCCUGCUUUGCAAGCAGGAUGUCGUCGGUUCGAUCCCGUCCGGCCCCACCA